UUCCUUCUCUCCCUUAAAUCCCUAAUCUAACACACACCACAAUACACAUAGCUCACGCCACCCUCUUCUCUCUCUCUCUCGCUCACUCUUCCCUUUCCCGAUUCUCCCUCUCCUUCGGCCUCCUGUCGCCGCGCCACCGGACGGCACGCCGCCGCCGGGAGCCGCCGGCUCUGCCUCCCCUUCCCAUCUCCUCAACCUCUCUUCCUCGGUCUCCCUCUGCCUCUCCUCGUCGCGCCAAGCCGCGGCCGGAGGCCGGCGACUCCUCCUCCUUCCUCUCUCCUGGCCGAACGCAACGCCACCACCGCCGUCCCAGUGUUGACAGAGACGCGCCCAGCCGCCUCGUCGACAGCAACAGUCGGUCAGGCCGCCUUCCCCCUUUCCAGAUCUGGUGCUGCCCAACCGCCGUCGCCGCCUCCCUGCCCAUCUUCGCCGGCCGCCGUGGCGCGGCAGCGCCCAGCGACGCCUACUAGCCAACUCCCCCUUCGCCUCCCCGGCUGUCCAGCAGUCAUACACUCACCAACAAUUUCCCCUCCCUUCUUCUAUUUCUAUUUUCUUUUUCAUGUAAUUAUAAGAUUUAUUCUAUUUGAUUUCCUUAUGGAAAUUACAGUAAAAGGAUGUGUGCAUAUUUUGAUUUGAAAACAAAAUUCUGUUGUAAAGUUUUGAUUUUUGGCAGAAAUGAGAAACCAUGAAUGGAAAAAGAAACUUUGCAAAAAUAAUUAAAAUUUACCAGCUGGGAUUCGUAGGAAGAAUCUGCAGAUUUUAGUUAAAUGAACAGAUGAAGAGGUGAGUUGGGGGUGAGGAAUUGAGGUUUAAAUAGAUUGGAUAUACUCGUUCGUCAAAGAUUUGAAUGUGAAAGAAAUCAAAAAUUUGCUGCUUGUGGAAGAAAAUCAAAUCUUACGGAAAGGAAAUUUAAUUCAAGUUUG
rnacentral:lncRNA from 1 species